rnacentral:rRNA from 1 species
GUUUAUGGCCAUGUUACCCUGACCCAACCUAUCUCUUCUCAUCUAAGCAAGGCUUAGUUAGUACUUAGAUGGGAGGCUGCCUAAGAUAACCAAGUACUGUAGGCU